UACGAAGGGGGCUAGCGUUGCUCGGAAUCACUGGGCGUAAAGCGCACGUAGGCGGAUUGCUAAGUCAGGGGUGAAAUCCUGGAGCUCACUCCAGAACUGCCUUUGAUACUGGCGACCUUGAGUCCGGGAGAGGUGAGUGGAACUGCGAGUGUAGAGGUGAAAUUCGUAGAUAUUCGCAAGAACACCAGUGGCGAAGGCGGCUCACUGGCCCGGUACUGACGCUGAGGUGGCGAAAGCGUGGGGAGCAAACAGG
rnacentral:rRNA from 1 species